ACCCCGUGCCCAACCCGAUUUGAUGAUCAGCAUAUUUGAUUUGGUUUGAUAUUUACACCUGAUGCCCUUCUUGACGCAACCCUCCCCAUUUAUCCAGGCUUGGUACUGGCAACAAGGAAUGGCUGAGGAGCAGAUAGUGGCUUGCCCAAGGACGAGUCGACAUGAGGACAGCAGGAGUCUGCAGCAACAAAGGUAUAAUGGUUGGACAGAGAGUGAUGAUUUGACAGCAGGAUGAGGACAUCCCCUGUGGACAGGUGAACCAGAUACUGACUCAGCCCCAGUCUGUCUCCAGUGACCCAGCCUGAACCAACAGAGCUCUAAUCCCAGGAUCACCUCUCAUUGCUGGGUGACAGAGUGCGGAAUCAGCCUGCCUCCGGGAAUCUCCAGCCAUACUCUCAUUGCUGGACCAGACCACACAGAGGGGAAGGAGGGAGGGCAGGGAGAACGGAGAAAGUGACAGAGAUAGACAAUGACACAUGCAACAAAUAUUGUCUAUGUAAUUAGAAUGAAAGUAGUGGCUGCUAUUUAUUGACACAAUUGAGCCUACGUGUAUUGUGUGUGUAAUUGUCAGUCUGAUACUUUGGGGGUACAAGGUGAACAAGGCUUUUGGCAGCAUUUCCCUCAUAG